UACGUAGGGGGCAAGCGUUGUCCGGAUUUAUUGGGCGUAAAGCGCUCGCAGGUGGUUCAUUGCGUCGUGCGUGAAAGACCCUGGCUCAACUGGGGGGUGUCGUGCGAAACGGGUGGACUAGAGGCCAGUAGGGGGAUGCGGAAUUCCGGGUGUAGUGGUGGAAUGCGUAGAGAUCCGGAGGAACACCAGCGGCGAAGGCGGCAUCCUGGACUGGGCCUGACACUCAGGAGCGAAAGCGUGGGGAGCGAUCCGGAUUAGAAACCCCCGUAGUCC
rnacentral:rRNA from 1 species